GUUACUGCAAGUGCUUUCGUGACGACGUCCGGUGCAUCACCAGCCAGGGCACGCCUGAUUCGACAUAGACAAGGACUGGUUGAACAGUUUAGCUGUGAGUCAGAUGAUGCGUGCAUACGUUCCGGCCCGGCCCUGCUUCUGAAACUGUAUUGGAGGGAGGAAGCAGACCAUAAGACUGUUGAUAGGUGAGUGCAUCCUCUACAACUCGUUCCAACCUGACCCUGCCUGCAUUCUUUUUUAAAAUUCAGGCCACUGUCACUGUUAUUGAACCAUCUCUACCAACGUUGACCUGGUGAAGAUCAGUAAGCAAUAAUUUGACCAUUUAUUCCUGUUACACUUUAGCGCCACAGACAUUACAGUACUCUAUUAACUUCCUCAUAAUUUGUCACCAUUUCUACUCAUUGCAAAACAUAAGGCUUCCUUGUGCCUUUUCAAAAAUAUUUUGAUUAUAAAGCUAGUAGCAAAACGAUGGAAGUCUAGCCAGUCAUUAUUGAUUGUAAUUCACUUUCUUGCAGUCACAAUAGGUUGGGAAGGAGACAUCUCAUAGCAUCUUCCAGGACCUCAUUGAUGCCAUGAAUUCCUGAUCAACUGCAGCUGCAAUGUUCAUGGUGGAACUCAUCCUGGUGAGAGAUCGUCCGACGCCAUCUCAACAUGUACAGUGACGUCCAGAAAGAUCGGUGCUCGUGUGUGAGCCCUGCGAUCUGAGUGAUGUAGCCAGUAGGGCGUUAGGGCAUUUUGUAAAUGGAGGCUCCUUUUGCCCUCAUAGCUAAAGCCCGUUUCUGUGGUGUACAAGCUUGGCGUGUGGCUGAUUUUAUUUCGUGUGACUGUGUCGAUGGCCGGAAUUGUAUUCGGUCAGUUACUGUAAAUUCUGUUCUUUAUAAACAGGGUCUUCCCUGGUUCACCAUCUGUUGUAAUUUCUGUUUUAUGUCAUGGUCAGUGGUUGUCGGGGACCUAGACCAUUACAUAAUCUGCCUCGUGUUGUUUUCUUGGGUCCCGAAACAAGAGAACGGCACAGGCCAGAAAGGAAGGCAGGUGGUUGGAAAGCCUUCUUUUAUUUUAGUAUUUAAGUCCUUUUAGGAAUGCUAGAGUUCGUGGUAUCGUGGUUCGCAGUCACAGAAACCGAAUCAAUACAAACAGAAUGCAAAGUGUACAAUUGUUCAGUUAUCAUGUAUAUCACGAUAGUAGAUACUUGUACAUAUAGUUACGCCUACUUACGUUAUGUGUUAGGUAUAGUUUUCCCAUAUUUUUGAGUGAAGAUCUCGUCUUUUUUUGAGAUGUAGUGCUGUUUAGGCGCCUUUUGUUAGCAGCCUCUGUUUUUGAGUGUAUUUGUUUGAUGCCCUUCCAGUACAGGGGUGGCUGACACUGGAUUGUUUUGUGUGUUUCACUUAUUUUCAUUGUCGCAGAAAAGUUGUCUACAUGUUAGAAUUCAGUAAAUGUCAACAUUGUCCGUUUAUUGUGUAGAAGUUGUAGCCCUUUAAAUCAGUUGUUUGGAAAUUUCCCUAGUAACUGAGGCUAAGGCUGGCGCUGACACUAACACAAGACAAACACAUACACACUAACAGACUAACCCCACCAAACACACACAUUUUUGACGGACACUAAUAAUCAAAAAGCCUUAGACUGAAAAAAAAUCUAUGAUUCUUCAAGUACAAAGGCUCCACGCUACCUCUAUACCAUGUACUGACAAUGUCAAUAUUUACUGAUUUUUAGCUUUCUUUUAUCCACUAUGUCCUAGAGUGAGGGUAACUCUUAACCUAAAUGGGUUAGAUGUGAAGUUCAUUUUUGAUGCUAGAGUAUCUUCAUUUGUUAUGAGGUUUAUAUAUUAUACACUUUGCAUUUCUCUAUUUUGCUAAUAAACAAAUAUGUUGAAAUCGGA